UUUCACUUCUUUCUACAUUGUGUGAUGAAGGUAGAUUUAACUUUUAAAGGCAAAGAGACAAACCUCUGCCAGGAUAAAUGAAAAGACUCAGAGAGGGCAACUGACACAACACAUAAAAGAAAGGAAAUGCUUUCUGGCUGUUUCCUAAUUUUGAUAUCCGGGUCAUCGUCAGAAAUAAUUUCCAGAGGUCAUGUCACAGAAAUAAUGAACAGACUGAAGAACCGUUUGAGACAGUACGGAUGGUGGAAGCAGUCAGUUCUCUCAAAACAUUCCUUGUGCUUUAUCAAUUGUUGGUCAAAAAUGUUUCACUAAUCCUUUAGGAUAUCAUAGUGAUAACAAAAGCAAGGGCAAGAUGUUCUUCAUGUAUGAAAUCAGAAAAACCUGCAAAUUAAAAAGGCAGCAUUUGACCUUGUCACUUAAUAAACAAAUAUCAAAUUUCAAGACCAAAUGAACAAUCCCCUUGGAAUUAAAAUAAUCACAACUGAAGGAAAAGCAAGUUGUAACAUAAACUCAAAAAAAUGUUGAUUAUGCCUCUACCACUUGUGUUAAAUUAGGCCUCAAGAGUGAAGUCAGUCUGAGGCAUGAGGAACAGUUCCCAAACAUGAAACAAUUUUUUUCCCAGGAGACUCUGGGAGAGCUAGAAUUCAACCUGAAGAUUUCAUAGCCUGUGGAUAGUGUCCAAAUACAAAUGUGUCUCAUUUAUAACAAAUUAAAUAAAAUAAUGUUUUCCUUAUAUGAACAUAUACUCAAUUCUUUCUUCAACUCAUUAAAAGGCCACAAUUGAAAUUCAAACGGUAUAAUUGAAACUAUUCCCAUUACUUUCUAGUGUGAUUAAUAAAUUUUACUUGACAUUUCCUAUAGAUGUUUAUAUAGCAAAAAUGUAAUAUUUGUAAAGUCAUUCUGCAUGAGAUAAAGGUACUCUUCAGAUAUUUAUUGGCAAAAAAAUGACAGUAAUCAUGAAUGACUAAAAUUACAAAAUAUCAUCUCUUUUAUAAGCAUAAAUAGUUGAUAAAAUUGUGAUUAUCAGGGUUAUUAGAGCAAAGUUUGACAUAUAUUUGGAGGACUUUUGACAACUUUUAUGGAAAUUAUUCAAACUUCUUCCUCUAAAUUGUUUCAUUGUGUAAUGUGGUGAUUCAAAGUCCAGUGUUUAAGUCAUUAAGUUCUGUAAAUUAAUCAAUUUUGAGUCAGAAUUUGUUAAGUUAAUGUUACUGUCCAAAGCCUUGUUUGUGUGAGGGAUACACUUUGCUGGGGAAACAGUGUGAAAAAUCUGUGACGUACCCAAAAAAAUUUGUCUUUUAUAUAUUUAGUGUCAAUUUAUAUUGCUCUCAUAAGAAUUACAAAUCACUUCACCCCAUUCUAAGUAUUUGAAUAUGUCAAUAAAUAUUUUUGUACUUAAUUAUUUCGUAUAUUUUAAAGAUUGAAAAUUGCAGUAAUGAGUUACAGAAGUACAGUUAAUACUUAGAAAACUGUUCUACAAAGCUUCAAGGGCAGGUGUUAUUCUUUCUUGGCAAAGAUUUUAGAAAAAUUGCAAAUAGCAGGAAGUAUUUUAUUAGCACUUCAAUCAAGAAAUGAAUGUCAAGUGCUCAAUGUAGGACAUAGUGACCCUGGUUACUCCUUAUAACUCCAUCUAAACCUAACAUUUAAUAUCAUUUUAAAUAUUAAUGCCUUCCAAAAAUAGAUCUAUAAAAUAAAACAAUUUCCAAGU